rfam:Nicotiana attenuata strain TT chromosome 9, whole genome shotgun sequence.
GUUAAGGAGAAUGUUGUCUGGUUCGUGACCAAUCUGUAAAACAGUUAGCUAUCUGUCAAAAAUUCAUCAUUUGAAUGAUCUCGGACCAGGCUUCAUUCCCCUCAAC